rfam:Rhizoctonia solani AG-1 IA unplaced genomic scaffold scaffold47, whole genome shotgun sequence.
GCAUCUUUAGCUGAAUUGGUAUAGCAACUGCCUUCGAAGCAGUCUGGUAUUGGUUCAAAUCCAAUAAGAUGUU